UACGGGGGGAGCAAGCGUUGUUCGGAUUUACUGGGCGUAAAGGGCGCGUAGGCGGUCGUGACAAGUCACUUGUGAAAUCUCCGGGCUUAACUCGGAACGGUCAAGUGAUACUGUCGGACUAGAGUACAGAAGGGGCAACUGGAAUUCUCGGUGUAGCGGUGAAAUGCGUAGAUAUCCGGAGGAACACCGGUGGCGAAGGCGGCUUCCUGGACCGACACUGACGCUGAGGCGCGAAAGCCAGGGGAGCAAACGGG
rnacentral:rRNA from 1 species